rnacentral:rRNA from 1 species
CCUAGGAGUAUCCAGAGUAGCACCGGACACGUGAAACCUGGUGUGAAUACGUGCAGACCACUGCAUAAGGCUAAAUACAAGGUGUCGACCGAUAGUGAACAAGUACCGUGAGGGAAAGGUGAAAAGAACCCCUGUUAGGGGAGUUAAAAGUACCUGAAACCUGUUGCCUACAAGCGGUCGGAGCUCCGCAUGGAGUGACGGCGUACCUUUUGCAUAAUGGGCCUAGGAGUUUAUGUGAGUUGCGAGCUUAAGAGUUUACGACUUGGAGGCGAAGCGAAAGCGAGUUUGAAUAGGGCGCCAGUAACUUGCAUAACACCCGAAGCGGAGGCGAUCUAGCCAUGGCCAGGUUGAAGCAUCGGUAAUACGAUGUGGAGGACCGAACCCAUUAACCUUGAGAAGUUAAGGGAUGAGCUGUGGUUAGGAGUGAAAGGCUAAUCAAGCCCCGUAAUAGCUGGUUCUCUCCGAAAUAUAUUUAGGUAUAGCGCUCAAUGUUAAAGAUCGGGGGUAAAGCACUGAAAAGGCUAGGGUUCACACCAGAAUACCGAACCUUAUCAAACUCUGAAUACCGGUCGGGAAAAUUGAGUAGUCAGUCAGCGGGGGAUAAGCUCCGUUGGCGAGAGGGAAACACCCCAGACCAUCGAAUAAGGUCCCAAAGACAGUACUAAGUGGCAAGAAGGAGGUAAAUUUUCUUAGACAAUGGGGAUGUUGGCUUAGAGGCAGCCAUCAUUUAAAAAGUGCGUAAUAGCUUACCCAUCGAGAGAGUUUGCGCCGAAAAUGAUCGGGACUAAAGUACUGCACCGAAUUUGUGGAAUUAGCAAUAAUUGGUAGGAGAGCGUUCCAACGACGUUGAAGCGUGAUUGAAAGAGAGCGUGGAGUUUUUGGAAGUGAGAAUCUAGGCAUGAGUAACGAAAAGUAUGGUCAAAAUCCAUACCGCCGUAAGGAUAAGGUUUCCUGGGGAAGGUUCGUCCGCCCAGGGUUAGUCGGGAGCUAAGGCGAGGCCGUAAGGAGUAGUCGAUGCACAAUAGGUUAAUAAUCCUAUACCUGCUUAGUGGUGUUCGAGUUGCAUAUUGACGAAUACGUGAAGUUCAGCUGGGUGAUGAACAUCCCAGUCUAAGGUUGUGAAAGCAGCUGGGGACCUUGAGGCUACGGCCGAGAGGGAUUGAAUGGAUGGUGUUCCGGGAAAAUUUAUGCAAUGAAUCAUUAGGUAGCCCGUACCGCAAACCGACACAGGUAUCCGGGAAGAGUAUUCUAAGGCGCGUGAGUGAAAUCUCCCCAAGGAACUCGGCAAAAUGGCCCCGUAUCUUCGGUAGAAGGGGUGCCAACGCGAGUUGGUCUCAGCAAAGAGGCCCAACCGACUGUUUAUCAAAAACACAGCUCUCUGCGAAGUCGCAAGACGACGUAUAGGGAGUGACACGUGACCAAUGCGGAAAGGUGAAAACUGCUUGUUAACGCUUGUGGUCUAAGCCCCCGUGAAUGUCGGCCGUAACUAUAACGGUCCUAAGGUAGCGAAAUUCCUUGUCGGGUAAGUUCCG